rnacentral:rRNA from 1 species
UACGUAGGGGGCAAGCGUUGUCCGGAAUUACUGGGCGUAAAGCGCAUGUAGGCGGAGGGGUGUGUCGAACGUGAAAGGCUGCGGCUCAACCGCAGAGCGCCGUUCGAAACUGCCUUUCUUGAGGGCCGAAGAGGAGAGUGGAAUUCCCGGUGUAGCGGUGAAAUGCGCAGAUAUCAGGAGGAACACCGGUGGCGAAGGCGGUUCUCUGGGAAUGUCCUGACGCUGAGGAGCGAAAGUGUGGGGAGCGAACAGG